CCUUCCACAGCUCAGUUGGUAGAGCACGAGUCUCCUAAUCUCAGGGUCGUGGGUUCCAGCUCCACAUUGUAAGGG